rnacentral:rRNA from 1 species
GACGAACCGAGCGAGCGUUGUUCGGAAUCACUGGGCUUAAAGGGCGCGUAGGCGGGUGCUCAAGUCCGGGGUGAAAUCCUCCAGCUCAACUGGAGAACUGCCUCGGAUACUGGGCGUCUCGAGUGUGGUAGGGGUAUGCGGAACUAUCGGUGGAGCGGUGAAAUGCGUUGAUAUCGAUAGGAACUCCGGUGGCGAAGGCGGCAUACUGGACCACCACUGACGCUGAUGCGCGAAAGCCAGGGGAGCAAACGGG